ACUUUAAUAGCUUAUUUAGAGCAUAAUAUUGAAGAUAUUAGGGAAAUUUUAUAUUUUAAGGUA
rnacentral:tRNA from 1 species